rnacentral:rRNA from 1 species
GGUGAAGCCUGCGGUUCAAUUGGAGUCAACGCCAGAAAUCUUACCUGGGGAGACAGCAGAAUGAAGGUCAAGCUGAAGACUUUACCAGACACGCUGAGAGGUGGUGCANNNNNNNCGCCAGCUCGUGCCGUGAGAUGUCCUGUUAAGUCAGGUAACGAGCGAGACCCCUGCGUCUAGUUGCUACCAUUACUNNNUNGAGCAGUGGAGCGAAUUAGACGGACCGCCACAGUUAAUGUGGAGGAAGGAAGGGGCCACGGCAGGUCAGUAUGCCCCGAAGCCCUAGGGCUACACGCGGGCNNNNAUGGUAUUGACAAUGUGUUCCGAAUCCGAAAGGAGGAGGCAAUCAUCAAACAUAUCUCAG